rnacentral:rRNA from 1 species
UUGAAUGGCCGCGGUAUUUUGACCGUGCUAAGGUAGCAUAAUCAUUAGUUUUUUAAUUGAAAGCUGGAAUGAAGGGUUGGAUGAAGAAAAAACUGUCUCUAUUAAAUUAUAUUUGAAUUUUAUUUUUAAGUUCAAAAGCUUAAAUAAUUUUAAAAGACGAGAAGACCCUUUAGAGUUUAAUAAAUUUAUAAUUUUUUUUUUAUUAAGAAUUUAAUUAAAAAAUAGAAUAAUUUAUUUAAUUGGGGUGAUUAAAAAAUUUAAUUAACUUUUUUUUUGUUUAAAUAUUAAUUUAUAGAUAAAUGAUCCAAUAAUAUUGAUUAUAAGAUAAAAUUACCUUAGGGAUAACAGCGUAAUUUUAUUAGAGAGUU